GAUGAAGAACGCAGCGAAAUGCGAUAAGUAAUGUGAAUUGCAGAAUUCAGUGAAUCAUCGAAUCUUUGAACGCACAUUGCGCCCGCCAGUAUUCUGGCGGGCAUGCCUGUCUGAGCGUCAUUUCAACCCUCAUGCCCCUAGGGCGUGGUGUUGGGGAUCGGCCAAAGCCCGCGAGGGACGGCCGGCCCCUAAAUCUAGUGGCGGACCCGUCGUGGCCUCCUCUGCGAAGUAGUGAUAUUCCGCAUCGGAGAGCGAUGAGCCCCUGCCUUUAAACCCCCAACUUUCCAAGGUUGACCUCAGAUCAGGUAGGAAUACCCGCUGAACUUAAGCAUAUCAAUAAGCGGAGGA
rnacentral:misc_RNA from 1 species